CAGGUCUUGACAUCUUCUGCCACUCCUAGAGAUAGGANGUUCNCCUUCGGGGGACAGAGUGACAGGUGGNGCAUGGUUGUCNUCAGCUCGUGUCGUGNGAUGUUGGGUUAAGUCCCGCNACGAGCGCANCCCUUGAUAUUAGUUGCCAGCAUUCAGUUGGGCACUCUAANGUGACUGCCGGUGNCAAACCGGAGGAAGGUGGGGACGACGUCAAAUCAUCAUGCCCCUUAUGACCUGGGCUACACACGUGCUACAAUGGACGGUACAAAGGGCAGAGACACCGCGAGGUGAAGCGAAUCCCAUAAAGCCGUUCUCAGU
rnacentral:rRNA from 1 species